rnacentral:tRNA from 1 species
GCGCGGUUGCGGCUAACGGUAUGCCGUUCACCACUACCGGUGAAGAUCCGGGUUCGACUCCCGGCCCGCGCG